rnacentral:rRNA from 1 species
GUCGGUGACCAUACCAUGUUGAAAACACCAGUCCUCGUUCAAUCACCGAAGUUGAACAAUGUUGGGCCCGGUUAGUACUUGCAUGGGUGACUGGUUGGGAAUACCGUGUGUUGCCGGCU